rnacentral:rRNA from 1 species
GUGGGGAAUAUUGGACAAUGGGGGGAACCCUGAUCCAGCGACGCCGCGUGAGUGAAGAAGUAUCUCGUUACGUAAAGCUCUAUCAGCAGGGAAGAAAAUGACGGUACCUGACUAAGAAGCCCCGGCUAACUACGUGCCAGCAGCCGCGGUAAUACGUAGGGGGCAAGCGUUAUCCGGAUUUACUGGGUGUAAAGGGCGUGCAGCCGGAGAGGCAAGUCAGAUGUGAAAUCCGCGGGCUCAACCCGCGAACUGCAUUUGAAACUGCUUCCCUUGAGUAUCGGAGAGGUCAUCGGAAUUCCUAGUGUAGCGGUGAAAUGCGUAGAUAUUAGGAAGAACACCAGUGGCGAAGGCGGAUGACUGGACGACAACUGACGGUGAGGCGCGAAAGCGUGGGGAGCAAACAGGAUUAGAUACCCUAGUAGUCC